rnacentral:rRNA from 1 species
GACGAACGCUGGCGGCGGGCUUAACACAUGCAAGUCGAACGGAGUGGCGAACGGGUGAGUAACACGUGGGUGACCUUCCCUGCACUUCGGGAUAAGCCUGGGAAACUGGGUCUAAUACCGGAGAGUUUGGGAGGGGCCAGCGGCCUAUCAGCUUGUUGGUGGGGUAAUGGCCUACAAAGGCGGCGACGGGUAGCCGGCCUGAGAGGGUGGACGGCCACCUUGGGACUGCGAUGCGGCCCAUGCUCGUACGGGAGGCAGCAGGGGGGAAGAUUGCACAAUGGGCGGACGUGUGAUGCAGCGACGCCCGGUGGGGGAUGACGGUCUUCUGGUUGUAAACUCCUUUCACCAUCGACGCGGUAGAUGGAGAAGAAGCACCGGCUAACUACGUGCCAGCAGCCGCGGUAAUAC